AUUGAACGCUGGCGGCAUGCUUUACACAUGCAAGUCGAACGGCAGCGGGGAGGAGCUUGCUUCUCUGCCGGCGAGUGGCGCACGGGUGAGUAAUACAUCGGAACGUGUCGAGAAGCGGGGGAUAACCACCCGAAAGGGUGGCUAAUACCGCAUAAAUCCUGAGGAAGAAAGCUGGGGACCUAGGGAUAGGUCUGGCGCUUUUUGAGCGGCCGAUGUCGGAUUAGCUAGUUGGUGGGGUAAAGGCCCACCAAGGCGAAGAUCUGUAGCGGGUCUGAGAGGAUGAUGCGCCACAUGGGGACUGAGCCACGGCCCAGACUCCUACGGGAGGCAGCAGUGGGGAAUUUUGGACAAGGGGGGCAACCCUGAUCCAGCCAUGCCGCGUGUAUGAAGAAGUCCUUAGGGUUUUAAAGUACGUUUGUUAGGGAAGAAAAGUCAGCUGUGAAUAAUGGCUGAUACUGACGGUACCUAAAGAAUAAGCACCGGCUAACUACGUG
rnacentral:rRNA from 1 species